CAAAACGCUCAGAAACACCGCCAUGUUACUUCGAACCCAGGCAUUCGAGGUCUUUGACCUUGAGCUCUUCCCAUGUUAAUGAUUCCUGUCUCUUUUACCGCAAUCAGUGCUGAUCAAGUCGUCAUAAAUGGCUGGCUAGACUGUGUCCUACACCUCUCCCACUUGCCCCUUAUCCUUCAUUAGCUCCUGCUGCCUGCAAUUAAUAAUAGCCCCCUCGAAGGAUUUCUUCUGUAGCUUCAACAGUAUACGCAUUAUUUUCUGCAGUAUACAAAACCCUUUUAGCAUACAAAGUACAAACUGAUCAUCAUUUCUAACCAUUUACGAAAAAAUAAUGGCUGAGGUUGUGCUCUUCGAUAUUACGGAGGAAAUAAUAAACAGGCUAUGUUCCCUAACUGCUCAGGAGGUCGCACCAUGGUGGGGGGCUCAAGGAUCAAUUAAUUACAGAAGCUCAACGACACCAUCACCAGGAUUAAGGCUGUGAUUCAAGAUGCCGAGGAGACUGCCGAUUACGCGGGAAUAAUAGAAACUUCAGAGGGAGCAAAAGCCAGGGCUCUCUGCCUAAUGCUAAUGUGCGUUCAGAAAUUAAGGAUCUUGAACAAGUUCGGAAGAAGAGGCAGAAGAAGGCAGACAGAUUUUCUUAUACGAAGAACAGAGGUUCAAAGAGUAGAAAGUUUGGUAAAAAUGGAAAAAAAGGGGGCAAAGCUAAGAAGUAAAAGCUGUCAGAUUUGAUCACAUCUUGAGGCACGUCAUCUUUAAGAACAAGGAUGCAGGAACUAUGAAGAGGUUCAUAUUCGGAUUGCCUCAUGAUUCUUUUCAAGAGGGCGUUUGAGAAGAAAAUUCGAAAGGGGCAUUGCAAAAAUUAAUUUUGAUCUCAACAAAUGUCCGUAAGCUAUUUAUAUGGAGAGCAUAGUUUGUAAGCACACUGUUUUCAGACCAAACGCCACAUUUAGAUUCUCCAUCCGUUCAGUAGUUGAGUUUUCCGAUGGGUGCCAGGCCUACGAGCCCAAUGGCAGGAGAAGCUCCCCCUAAAGACCAAUAUGUAAAAUCUCUGGCAGCGGUAGACUCUUUGGUAUUUUGAGCUGAAAAGUUUGCACAUAUGUUGGGAAAAAUCCAACUCAGGUCUUAGAAAAGUCCAAAUUUUGAUCUUGCAAAUGAUAAAUUGUUGCAGAAAGUUAAAAGUAAUCCCAGAUGUGGACUUGUAUAAACCAAUGGAAACUUUGAAGUGGGAAAUUAGAUAGCUUGUUAGCUACCUGUUUGUUUCCGUGCUAUUGUUUUCAGUACUCUCUCCUCAUUGUAUUGCUUUUGUAGUAGGGUGAGCACCCACUUUGUGCCUUUUGAUAAUGGAACUUUGAUUUAGGUGCU